UACGUAGGUGACAAGCGUUGUCCGGAAUUAUUGGGCGUAAAGGGAGCGCAGGCGGUUGGAAUAGUCUGAUGUGAAAGCCCACGGCUUAACCGUGGAAGGUCAUUGGAAACUGUCCAACUUGAAUGCAGAAGAGGUAAGUGGAAUUCCAUGUGUAGCGGUGAAAUGCGUAGAUAUAUGGAGGAACACCAGUGGCGAAGGCGACUUACUGGUCUGUAAUUGACGCUGAGGCUCGAAAGCGUGGGUAGCGAACAGGAUUAGAUACCCU
rnacentral:rRNA from 1 species